rnacentral:misc_RNA from 1 species
ACUACGAGCCCUAUGAUAGCAGUGAUGGUAUUAUAGCGAGGAUUUCACCCUCAUUAAGAUGGCCAAUACUGGUGGUAGUGGUGGCAAUCAAUUUUAAAACGGUGAUAAGGGGUUGCAUGCUGUUUGUCAACAAUCGAAGAACAAACCACAUCUUUUGGCAAUAUAGAGCAUCAAUUACAAGAGAUUCAAGAGCAAUUGCAUGUCGUGUUGGGAGUUCGUGAUGUUAAGAAGAGAAGCCAUAAGUUGAAUUAAGCUGGAGGAGUUAACCACGUCAUAGUUAAUAUGAUUCUGUUCUAUUUAAUUCGAGAAAAAAACUUAUUACUAAUGAUGAAUAUAGAGGAAGUGUUGUUCAAGUAUUAUGUACUUCAACAGAAACGAAGAAUAUGGAGGUUGAAGUAAAGUUUGUUGAGACAUCAAAAGAUGUUGAAAAUUUGAAGCAAGAAUAAAG